rnacentral:rRNA from 1 species
GAUGAACGCUAGCUACAGGCUUAACACAUGCAAGUCGAGGGGUAACGAGAGGGAAGCUUGCUUUCCUUGUCGACGACCGGCGAAUGGGUGAGUAACGCGUAUCCAACCUGCCCUUCAGUAAGGGAUAGCCUUUCGAAAGAAAGAAUAAUACCUUAUAAUAUCGUUUGAUGACAUCAGACGACGAUUAAAGAUUUAUCGCUGAAGGAUGGGGAUGCGUCCCAUUAGGCAGUAGGCGGGGUAACGGCCCACCUAACCUACGAUGGGUAGGGGUUCUGAGAGGAAGGUCCCCCACAUUGGAACUGAGACACGGUCCAAACUCCUACGGGAGGCAGCAGUGAGGAAUAUUGGUCAAUGGCCGUAAGGCUGAACCAGCCAAGUAGCGUGCAGGAUGACGGCCCUAUGGGUUGUAAACUGCUUUUAAACGGGGAUAAAGUGAGCCACGUGUGGUUUAUUGCAGGUACCGUUUGAAUAAGGACCGGCUAAUUCCGUG